GGUGGGGUGCCCGAGCGGCUAAAGGGAGCAGACUGUAAAUCUGCCGUCAAACGACUACGGUGGUUCGAAUCCAUCCCCCACCACCA
rnacentral:tRNA from 1 species